rnacentral:piRNA from 1 species
UCUGAUGACGACGACGAUGAUGAUAGCAGU